UAGCGGCAGACGGGUGAGUAACAUGUGGGAAUCUGCCUUUUGGUUCGGAACAACACGGGGAAACCUGUGCUAAUACCGGAUAAGUCCUUACGGAGAAAGUUUUAAUGCCAAAAGAUGAGCCCGCAUUUGAUUAGCUAGUUGGUAGGGUAAUGGCCUACCAAGACUGUGAUCAAUAGCUGUUCUUAGAGGAAGACCAGCCACAUUGGGACUGAGACACGGCCCAAACUCC
rnacentral:rRNA from 1 species